rnacentral:tRNA from 1 species
AAAUUGAUAAGUUAAGUUUAAACUGAGGGGUUCAUGUCCCCUUUAUGUACGUUGUGCUCAAUUGA